CAUUCAACCGACUCGACUUCAUACGCCAGCCAACUCCGUCAUCAGCAGCUACUCUGAACAUCAUCAUUAUGAAGGUCCUCGUCCUCCUCGUUCUUGUUGGAUUCGCCGCCUACCAGGUGACAGAGGCUCGUAUGAACGCCUUCUCCUGCUCCGAUGACUGCUUCAGCUACCUUGAAGGACCAUACUGCAUCUCCAACGGCUCCGUCGUGUGUGACAACUGCGUCAGGGACAAGAUGCUCUGCCAGGAUCUCUCUUUAGCUUCAAAAGAUUGCAAUAGCGCAUGCGAUUAGAUGGAAUGACUGAAGGUGACUUGCAGAGCCCUGAAGGAAAAGUAAAGAAUCAUUCUUUCACCUGAAUAAAUAAUAUGCAUUUA